rnacentral:tRNA from 1 species
UGGGAUGUGGUCUAAUUGGCAAGACACUUGACUGUUAAUCAAGGCGAUGGUGGUUCGAGUCCACCCGUCCCAGCCA